GAAGAAAGCGGGGGGCGUGCUUAACACAUGCAAGUCGAACGGAAAGGCCCUGCUUUUGUGGGGUGCUCGAGUGGCGAACGGGUGAGUAACACGUGAGUAACCUGCCCUUGACUUUGGGAUACUUCAGGAAACUGGGGCUAAUACCGGAUAGGAGCUCCUGCUGCAUGGUGGGGGUUGGAAAGUUUCGGCGGUUGGGGAUGGACUCGCGGCUUAUCAGCUUGUUGGUGGGGUAGUGGCUUACCAAGGCUUUGACGGGUAGCCGGCCUGAGAGGGUGACCGGCCACAUUGGGACUGAGAUACGGCCCAGACUCCUACGGGAGGCAGCAGUGGGGAAUAUUGCACAAUGGGCGGAAGCCUGAUGCAGCAACGCCGCGUGCGGGAUGACGGCCUUCGGGUUGUAAACCGCUUUCGCCUGUGACGAAGCGUGAGUGACGGUAAUGGGUAAAGAAGCACCGGCUAACUACGUG
rnacentral:rRNA from 1 species